rnacentral:rRNA from 1 species
CCUACGGGUGGCAGCAGUGGGGAAUAUUGGACAAUGGGGGCAACCCUGAUCCAGCCAUGCCGCGUGUGUGAAGAAGGCCCUCGGGUUGUAAAGCACUUUCAGUGAGGAAGAACGCCUGGUGGUUAAUACCCAUCAGGAAAGACAUCACUCACAGAAGAAGCACCGGCUAACUCCGUGCCAGCAGCCGCGGUAAUACGGAGGGUGCGAGCGUUAAUCGGAAUUACUGGGCGUAAAGCGCGCGUAGGUGGCUUGAUAAGCCGGUUGUGAAAGCCCCGGGCUCAACCUGGGAACGGCAUCCGGAACUGUCAAGCUAGAGUGCAGGAGAGGAAGGUAGAAUUCCCGGUGUAGCGGUGAAAUGCGUAGAGAUCGGGAGGAAUACCAGUGGCGAAGGCGGCCUUCUGGACUGACACUGACACUGAGGUGUGAAAGCGUGGGUAGCAAACAGGAUUAGAUACCCGAGUAGUC